AUUGAACGCUGGCGGCAUGCCUAACACAUGCAAGUCGAACGGCAGCACGGUCUGGUUUACCAGAUGGGUGGCGAGUGGCGAACGGGUGAGUAAAGCGUAGGAAUAUACCUUAAAGAGGGGGAUAACCUGGGGAAACUCAGGCUAAUACCGCGUAAACUCUGCGGAGCAAAGCUGGGGACCGAAAGGCCUGGCGCUUUAAGAAUAGCCUGCGUCCGAUUAGCUAGUUGGUGGGGUAAAGGCUCACCAAGGCGACGAUCGGUAGCUGGUCUGAGAGGACGAACAGCCACACUGGGACUGAGACACGGCCCAGACUCCUACGGGAGGCAGCAGUGGGGAAUAUUGGACAAUGGGGGGAACCCUGAUCCAGCAAUGCCGCGUGUGUGAAGAAGGCCUGAGGGUUGUAAAGCACUUUCAGUGGGGAGGAGGAUUACUAGGUUAAGAGCCAGGUAAUUGGACGUUACCCACAGAAGAAGCACCGGCUAACUCCGUGCCAGCAGCCGCGGUAAUGUCG
rnacentral:rRNA from 1 species